rnacentral:misc_RNA from 1 species
UUUAUGAUAGACAAUUUCCUUGGCAUGAAAUAUGAUUCGAGGUUACAAACUGAUACUUUACUGUUUCGUAAAAAUGGACAUUAAUAGGUGGAAGGAAACAAAAACUGUGAGAUCCUAUAUCUCAUUCUUAUAUUAGACUUCAUGAAAACCAAAUAUAAUGAAAGGGAUAUAAGAUUAAGAUUAUCAGGAUUGGAGUUGUGCCAAGUUCAGAAAUUAUCUGGUUGAAGUGUGACCUAGUUUCUUUUGAUAGCCAGCAAUGAGAUGCCAUAGGUUUGCAGGUCCUGUUUGCCUUGAUUUUUGGCAGUGAAAAGAGUAUUGGUACUUCUUGUUGUCUGAUAACAUUGUAAUUUUAGGAGUAAUCAUAUGUGUUGGACUAAAUUUGUACUUAAACAGUACAUAUCUAAAGAGCUUUCAAGUAUUAUUACUAUAGCCUUUUGGGGUGCUUUUGAAUUUUGACAAGGCAUUUUUGUUGCCUGCUCUUUUUCCAUUAAAUACUUGUCGCCAUGAUGAAAUUUUUAGGAUAGUAGAGUGGACGGACCAGCAAAAUAGCAAUUCUAUGGUCCUCCAAGCAAAUCAGGCAUUUGAAUUGUCUUUUAUCUGUAUUAUGGAUCAAAAAAUGAACCUUGAGCACUCUGAACUUGUCAUGGAUUCCUCAAAAUAGCCUGUGUUCAAUUUUCUGAUAUGGAUAUGUGAUGCUGUCAAGGAAGACUAGAUUUAAGAA